rnacentral:rRNA from 1 species
CUACGGGCGGCUGCAGUGGGGAAUAUUGGACAAUGGGCGAAAGCCUGAUCCAGCAAUACCGCGUGUGUGAAGAAGGCCUGAGGGUUGUAAAGCACUUUCAAUAGGAAGGAAUACCUAUCGGUUAAUACCCGGUAGACUGACAUUACCCAUACAAGAAGCACCGGCUAACUCCGUGCCAGCAGCCGCGGUAAUACGGAGGGUGCAAGCGUGAAUCGGAAUUACUGGGCGUAAAGCGUGCGUAGGCGGUUAUUUAAGUCAGAUGUGAAAGCCCUGGGCUUAACCUGGGAACUGCAUUUGAUACUGGAUGACUAGAGUUGAGUAGAGGAGAGUGGAAUUUCAGGUGUAGCGGUGAAAUGCGUAGAGAUCUGAAGGAACACCAGUGGCGAAGGCGGCUCUCUGGACUCAAACUGACGCUGAGGUACGAAAGCGUGGGUAGCAAACAGGAUUAGAUACCCGAGUAGUC